rnacentral:lncRNA from 13 species
AACCCAGGAGCCGGUUCCCAGCCUCCAGCCGCGCGCCUGCCGGAAGAGGGGAGAGAAAGGAGGGGUAAAACCCUUCACGCGCCUGCGCUCAGCAGCCUGCCGGCUCAGCCAAGGAGAGCUCUGCCCGCGGCUCACUCCCCACCUACUCGCGUCUCGCGUCUCGCGCCACGCGGACCCCAGAAACCCGGACCCGAGAGCGAACGCGUCGCGCUCCCGCGCAGACUUAAGGUCCCGGGCGGGCGCCUGCGCACGAGCUUCCCAGGCGCGCAAGCUGCGGGGUUAUUAGAGGUGGAGCGCGGGGAGGGCGCGCGGCAGGAGGCGGUCGCCGUUACGGCGCGAGCGUGGUCACGUGGCCGCUGGUCACCGCCGCCACCCCCUCCCGCCCUGUUCUCUUUCAGGUCGGGCCGGGCCCGGCAGGUUCCGCGAGCGCCUGGCAGACUGAGGGAGAGAGAGAGAGAGAAAGAGGAGGGGAGGAGGAGGAUUCAGGGAAUAGGAGCUGGGGAGCCCUUCUGCGCCACAGACACUACUCACAUGACCAGGAGGAGCAAUUGGCCAGGAACAUGUGUGACAAGGCUCUUCUAUCAGCAUGUGAUGAAUAAGCCAUGUACACGGUUAGAGGAAUGCAUGGGAUGGUGGCUUGAAGAUGCUCAUGUCAUUUUAGGGCCUUUGUUUUGA